AUUUACAAAGAGACUGGUAUGAGAGCCUCAGUGAUGGAAUAGGUUAUCAGCAAAACUGGCAGAAUGAUGCUAGAUCACUGAGACCAACAGGAACUGUAGGAGACUUUAACAAUAUAGACACCAACCAACCAUCAGGAGGAGCAGAUGCUGAUGAGUUAAGUGCUACAUACAAUGAAUACAUGAGGAAUUGGCAUGAGGACUUAAUUUUUUAUGAGGAAGAGUUUUAAAUCAAAAGAA